GAUAUCAGGUAGUGUAGGAGUCAGUGGGAUGUUGAUAUCAGGUAGUGUAGGAUUCAGUGAGAUGUUGAUAUCAGGUAGUGUAGGAGUCAGUGGGAUGUUGAUAUCAGGUAGUGUAGGAGUCAGUGGGAUGUUGAUAUCAGGUAGUGUAGGAGUCAGUGAGAUGUUGAUAUCAGGUAGUGUAAGAGUCAGUGGGAUGUUGAUAUCAGGUAGUGCAGGAGUCAGUGAGAUGUUGAUGUCAGGUAGUGUAGGAGUCAGUGAGAUGUUGAUAUCAGGUACUGUAGGAGUCAGUGGGAUAUUGAUGUUGAUAUCAGGUAGUGUAGGAGUCAGUGGGAUGUUGAUGUUGAUAUCAGGUAAGUUUGGAGUCAGUGAGAUGUUGAUAUCAGGUAGUGUAGCAGUCAGUGAGAUGUUGAUAUCAGGUAGUGUUGGAGACAGUGGGAUGUUGAUGUUGAUAUCAGGUAGUGUAGGAGUCAGUGAGAUGUUGAUAUCAGGUAGUGUAGGAGUCAGUUAGAUGUUGAUGUCAGGUAGUGUAGGAGUCAGUGAGAUGUUGAUAUCAGGUAGUGUUGGAGUCAG
rnacentral:lncRNA from 1 species